rnacentral:rRNA from 1 species
GGCGACCAUAGCAAGAGUGAACCACCUGAUCCCUUCCCGAACUCAGAAGUGAAACCUCUUAGCGCUGAUGGUAGUGUGGGGUUACCCAUGU